rnacentral:rRNA from 1 species
UACGUAGGUGGCAAGCGUUAUCCGGAUUUAUUGGGCGUAAAGGGAACGCAGGCGGUCUUUUAAGUCUGAUGUGAAAGCCUUCGGCUUAACCGGAGUAGUGCAUUGGAAACUGGGAGACUUGAGUGCAGAAGAGGAGAGUGGAACUCCAUGUGUAGCGGUGAAAUGCGUAGAUAUAUGGAAGAACACCAGUGGCGAAAGCGGCUCUCUGGUCUGUAACUGACGCUGAGGUUCGAAAGCGUGGGUAGCAAACAGGAUUAGAUACCCUGGUAGUCCACGCCGUAAACGAUGAAUGCUAAGUGUUGGAGGGUUUCCGCCCUUCAGUGCUGCAGCUAACGCAAUAAGCAUUCCGCCUGGGGAGUACGACCGCAAGGUUGAA